GAUGAACGCUGGCGGCGUGCCUAAUACAUGCAAGUCGAACGCAUUGUGGUUGAAAUGAUAUGAAGAACUUGUUCAGAUUUGAUUUUCAACAUUGCAAUGAGUGGCGAACGGGUGAGUAACACGUGGGAAACCUACCUCUUAGCAGGGGAUAACAUUUGGAAACAAAUGCUAAUACCGUAUAAUAAUUAAAACCGCAUGGUUUUAGUUUAAAAGAUGGUCUUGCUAUCACUAAGAGAUGGUCCCGCGGUGUAUUAGUUAGUUGGUGAGGUAAUGGCUCACCAAGACAAUGAUACAUAGCCGAGUUGAGAGACUGACCGGCCACAAUGGGACUGAGACACGGCCCAUACUCCUACGGGAGGCAGCAGUAGGGAAUCUUCCACAAUGGACGAAAGUCUGAUGGAGCAACGCCGCGUGUGUGAUGAAGGGUUUCGGCUCGUAAAACACUGUUGUAAGAGAAGAAUGACAUUGAGAGUAACUGUUCAAUGUGUGACGGUAUCUUACCAGAAAGGAACGGCUAAAUACGUGCCAGCAGCCGCGGUAAUACGUAUGUUCCAAGCGUUAUCCGGAUUUAUUGGGCGUAAAGCGAGCGCAGACGGUUAUUUAAGUCUGAAGUGAAAGCCCUCGGCUCAACCGAGGAAUUGCUUUGGAAACUGGAUAACUUGAGUGCAGUAGAGGAAAGUGGAACUCCAUGUGUAGCGGUGAAAUGCGUAGAUAUAUGGAAGAACACCAGUGGCGAAGGCGGCUUUCUGGACUGUAACUGACGUUGAGGCUCGAAAGUGUGGGUAGCAAACAGGAUUAGAUACCCUGGUAGUCCAUGCCGUAAACGAUGAGUGCUAG
rnacentral:rRNA from 1 species